rnacentral:misc_RNA from 1 species
AUUAGUUUUGUAUGAUAUAAUAACUCAGAAAAGCUACAGAUAUAAUCAAGCUCCUAAUCUUGAGCAUUUUGAAUAAAAUUAACAUCCCAAGCUACAUGCCAAAAAAGAUCAAAUGACCCCAGUUCCAUACUUCAAAAGGUACAAAGGAUCAAAAAAAUCAUCCCAUUCUCUUCUAAUCCGUUUCCAUAUUCCCCUCCCAGAAGAUCUGUCCCCAGUUUAAUAGUCAAAUCAUUAUGCUCCAUCCACCCUACGUUUUUCAGCAAUAAUCCUCCUCUAAAUGUCUGUGUCAUAAAUUUUGACAAGUACUAUUUACCUAUAAGAGCUUUAUUAAUCUCUCCAGACAGGUUGUUUUAUCACUCCUAAACUUACAAAUAUGGUACUUGACCUCUAUUAUACUGCAAUGAAAUCCUCUGAUUUAUCCUACAAUCUGCUAAGUAGAAAGCGAGUCUACCCUAAGCGAGUUAGUAGCUUUAUUUUCCAUCCUACUAAUCUCUGCUCAAACUUCUCUAUUAUAGAAUUGGAUUUGUCCUUGAACUUGUUUCCAAAAAUAAGGCCUAUAUAGUUUGAGUCAAAGACUGAAAUCCAACCUAACAAUUCAAAAACUCUCACCAAGAGAUUCACAUCAACUCACACUUCCUUGAAUUUUCAAUCCUAGAAACUGCUUCAAGCAAAACAAAGCAUAACUUAAGAAAAGGAUUUUUAGAUAUUCCCUAUUACAAAAUAUGUUCAUACCAUAAGAGAAGAUGAGAAAUCAAUCAUAUCUUUAUCCUUUUUCCGCCAUUAAAACAAUCCUAUUUAGUUAAUCUCUAAUAAAUUUGUAUAACACACUCAUUCUUCGACUAUUUCACCACAGAAUCAAAAUGAAGUUUUUCUUGUCCAUAAUUAAAAGAAUGAAGAAAAUGGCAACAUGGUUUCAUAUAAAAUCAACUACAAACAGAAUUUUUCGCUAAAUUUUUCCAAUUCAGGGCCAAAUGAAUUUGCUGCAUUAUGGAAUUGUCUUGGCGAAUGGCGUGUGAGUAGUCUCAUCUUGUUUCC